rnacentral:rRNA from 1 species
GGGCCCGCACAAGCAGCGGAGCAUGUGGUUUAAUUCGACGCAACGCGAAGAACCUUACCUGGGCUUGACAUGUUCCUGACAGGUGUGGAAACACACUCUUCCUUCGGGACAGGAUCACAGGUGGUGCA